rnacentral:rRNA from 1 species
GGGUUGUGAGGUUAAGCGACUAAGCGUACACGGUGGAUGCCCUGGCAGUCAGAGGCGAUGAAGGACGUGCUAAUCUGCGAAAAGCGUCGGUAAGGUGAUAUGAACCGUUACAGCCGGCGAUGUCCGAAUGGGGAAACCCAGUGCAAUUCGUUGCACUAUCGUUAACUGAAUACAUAGGUUAACGAGGCGAACCGGGGGAACUGAAACAUCUAAGUACCCCGAGGAAAAAAAAUCAACCGAGAUUCCCCCAGUAGCGGCGAGCGAACGGGGAGCAGCCCAGAGUCUGAAUCAGCUUGUGUGUUAGUGGAACGGUCUGGAAAGUCCGACGGUACAGGGUGAUAGUCCCGUACACCAAAAUGCACAGGCUGUGAACUCGAAGAGUAGGGCGGGACACGUGGUAUCCUGUCUGAAUAUGGGGGGACCAUCCUCCAAGGCUAAAUACUCCUGACUGACCGAUAGUGAACCAGUACCGUGAGGGAAAGGCGAAAAGAACCCCGGCGAGGGGAGUGAAAAAGAACCUGAAACCGUGUACGUACAAGCAGUGGGAGCACCUUCGGGUGUGACUGCGUACCUUUUGUAUAAUGGGUCAGCGACUUAUAUUCUGUAGCAAGGUUAACCGUAUAGGGGAGCCGCAGGGAAACCGAGUCUUAACUGGGCGUUAAGUUGCAGGGUAUAGACCCGAAACCCGGUGAUCUAGCCAUGGGCAGGUUGAAGGUUGGGUAACACUAACUGGAGGACCGAACCGACUAAUGUUGAAAAAUUAGCGGAUGACUUGUGGCUGGGGGUGAAAGGCCAAUCAAACCGGGAGAUAGCUGGUUCUCCCCGAAAGCUAUUUAGGUAGCGCCUCGUGAAUUCAUCUUCGGGGGUAGAGCACUGUUUCGGCUAGGGGGUCAUCCCGACUUACCAACCCGAUGCAAACUACGAAUACCGAAGAAUGUUAUCACGGGAGACACACGGCGGGUGCUAACGUCCGUCGUGAAGAGGGAAACAACCCAGACCGCCAGCUAAGGUCCCAAAGUCAUGGUUAAGUGGGAAACGAUGUGGGAAGGCACAGACAGCCAGGAUGUUGGCUUAGAAGCAGCCAUCAUUUAAAGAAAGCGUAAUAGCUCACUGGUCGAGUCGGCCUGCGCGGAAGAUGUAACGGGGCUAAACCAUGCACCGAAGCUGCGGCAGCGACACUAUGUGUUGUUGGGUAGGGGAGCGUUCUGUAAGCCUGCGAAGGUGACCUGUGAGGGUUGCUGGAGGUAUCAGAAGUGCGAAUGCUGACAUAAGUAACGAUAAAGCGGGUGAAAAGCCCGCUCGCCGGAAGACCAAGGGUUCCUGUCCAACGUUAAUCGGGGCAGGGUGAGUCGACCCCUAAGGCGAGGCCGAAAGGCGUAGUCGAUGGGAAACAGGUUAAUAUUCCUGUACUUGGUGUUACUGCGAAGGGGGGACGGAGAAGGCUAUGUUAGCCGGGCGACGGUUGUCCCGGUUUAAGCAUGUAGGCUGGUUAUCCAGGCAAAUCCGGAUAAUCAAGGCUGAGGUGUGAUGACGAGGCACUACGGUGCUGAAGUAACAAAUGCCCUGCUUCCAGGAAAAGCCUCUAAGCAUCAGGUAACAUCAAAUCGUACCCCAAACCGACACAGGUGGUCAGGUAGAGAAUACCAAGGCGCUUGAGAGAACUCGGGUGAAGGAACUAGGCAAAAUGGUGCCGUAACUUCGGGAGAAGGCACGCUGGUGUGUAGGUGAAGUCCCUGCGGAUGGAGCUGAGACCAGUCGAAGAUACCAGCUGGCUGCAACUGUUUAUUAAAAACACAGCACUGUGCAAACACGAAAGUGGACGUAUACGGUGUGACGCCUGCCCGGUGCCGGAAGGUUAAUUGAUGGGGUUAUCCGUAAGGAGAAGCUCUUGAUCGAAGCCCCGGUAAACGGCGGCCGUAACUAUAACGGUCCUAAGGUAGCGAAAUUCCUUGUCGGGUAAGUUCCGACCUGCACGAAUGGCGUAAUGAUGGCCAGGCUGUCUCCACCCGAGACUCAGUGAAAUUGAACUCGCUGUGAAGAUGCAGUGUACCCGCGGCAAGACGGAAAGACCCCGUGAACCUUUACUAUAGCUUGACACUGAACAUUGAGCCUUGAUGUGUAGGAUAGGUGGGAGGCUUUGAAGCGUGGACGCCAGUCUGCGUGGAGCCAACCUUGAAAUACCACCCUUUAAUGUUUGAUGUUCUAACGUUGGCCCCUGACCGGGGUUGCGGACAGUGUCUGGUGGGUAGUUUGACUGGGGCGGUCUCCUCCCAAAGCGUAACGGAGGAGCACGAAGGUUAGCUAAUCCUGGUCGGACAUCAGGAGGUUAGUGCAAUGGCAUAAGCUAGCUUGACUGCGAGCGUGACGGCGCGAGCAGGUGCGAAAGCAGGUCAUAGUGAUCCGGUGGUUCUGAAUGGAAGGGCCAUCGCUCAACGGAUAAAAGGUACUCCGGGGAUAACAGGCUGAUACCGCCCAAGAGUUCAUAUCGACGGCGGUGUUUGGCACCUCGAUGUCGGCUCAUCACAUCCUGGGGCUGAAGUAGGUCCCAAGGGUAUGGCUGUUCGCCAUUUAAAGUGGUACGCGAGCUGGGUUUAGAACGUCGUGAGACAGUUCGGUCCCUAUCUGCCGUGGGCGCUGGAGAAUUGAGGGGGGCUGCUCCUAGUACGAGAGGACCGGAGUGGACGCAUCACUGGUGUUCGGGUUGUCAUGCCAAUGGCACUGCCCGGUAGCUAAAUGCGGAAGAGAUAAGUGCUGAAAGCAUCUAAGCACGAAACUUGCCCCGAGAUGAGUUCUCCCUGAGACUUUAAGUCUCCUGAAGGAACGUUAAAGACGAUGACGUUGAUAGGCCGGGUGUGUAAGCGCAGCGAUGCGUUGAGCUAACCGGUACUAAUGAACCGUGAGGCUUAACCUUACAACGCCGAAGGUGUUU